rnacentral:rRNA from 1 species
GGUGAACGCUGGCGAUGUGCCUAAGACAUGCAAGUCGAACGCCCCGCAAGGGGAGUGGCAGACGGGUGAGUAACGCGUGGGAAUCUACCCAGUUCUACGGAACAACUGAGGGAAACUUCAGCUAAUACCGUAUACGCCCUACGGGGGAAAGAUUUAUCGGAAUUGGAUGAGCCCGCGUUGGAUUAGCUAGUUGGUGGGGUAAUGGCCUACCAAGGCGACGAUCCAUAGCUGGUCUGAGAGGAUGAUCAGCCACACUGGGACUGAGACACGGCCCAGACUCCUACGGGAGGCAGCAGUGGGGAAUAUUGGACAAUGGGCGCAAGCCUGAUCCAGCCAUGCCGCGUGAGUGAUGAAGGCCUUAGGGUUGUAAAGCUCUUUCAGUGGGGACGAUAAUGACGGUACCCACAGAAGAAGCCCCGGCUAACUUCGUGCCAGCAGCCGCGGUAA